GGGCCCGCACAAGCGGUGGAGCAUGUGGUUUAAUUCGAUGAUACGCGAGGAACCUUACCAGGGCUUAAAUGUAACGGGACAGAUCUAGAGAUAGAUCCUUCUUCGGACUCAUUACAAGGUGCUGCAUGGUUGUCGUCAGCUCGUGCCGUGAGGUGUCAGGUUAAGUCCUAUAACGAGCGCAACCCCCCAUCGUUAGUUGCCAACGAGUAAUGUCGGGAACUCUAACGAAACUGCCGGUGCAAACCGUGAGGAAGGUGGGGAUGACGUCAAAUCAUCACGGCCCUUACGUCCUGGGCUACACACGUGCUACAAUGGUCGGUACAGAGAGCAGCCACUACGCGAGUAGAG
rnacentral:rRNA from 1 species